CUGUUUUGAAUAAUGUUGUACGUGGACGAGGCCAAUAAACCAGAACAUUUUCUUCUGAUUAUUACCUCAUCCUGCUGGCCUGCCAAACACAGCUAGCAGGCAAGUGUUCGAUGUAAGUAACUAGAGGAAGACUGUUCUGUAUAAUUGGGCGUAGGGAUCAUCUGGGAGACAAGGGAAAUCAGAAGGACUAGGGUGCAAUGGCAAUGCAGUAAAGUGGAAUAUUCUAAAAUCUUGCUUUUCCAAUUCAACAUUGCUUUCUGAGCUAAAGACAAUGGUCAGUGCUACCUUCAGUAUUCUAGGUACAUAAUGUUUCACCUUAAAAUGCAUUUUAAUUUUAAUAAGUGGUAAGCAAUCCACAGAAAAGAAAUAUAAAUGCAAACUUUACGAUAAAAAUCACAUUCUAACUGAAAACUGUGAAUAUCAAUGGAGUCUAUGAAAGUAUUUAUGAACUGCAAAGAUAAACUGUAAUCCUCUAGAAUAUUUUACUGAAACUUAUUUCUCUGCGGGAAGGGAGACUUCGGAACAAUUCAGUAGCAAUAAUUAUUGGCAUGAGUAACUCCAUGCGUUUUUCAGUCACCUAGAAGAUCGUGACUGAACAAUAUACAUCAAAUAGCCGCAUAUGGCAAAAAGGUCCUAAGUUAGAAGAGGAAAAUACCAGGAAAAAAAAAAAAAGAAAUCUAUAAGAUGUAAUCAGUUAUACACCAAAGUUUUAAGCAAACACCAGAAACACUAUUUCAAUGUGUUUAUUCAAAGAUAUUGUGCUUUAAAAUGAAUUUUCAAUGUAAGUAUGAGUUUUCAUGCAUUAAUUAUUAAGAUAGUGAUGGAUUAAUUUAAAGUGUUUGAAAUACUAAAAUGAAUCAAGCAAUUAUAUCAAUAUCCUUCAUUAAAGAAAGAUUCCCGAACUGAACUGUAGAACAUUUAAGUAAGCUAAUCACAGUCUACUGAUGAGUCACAGGGGUUUUUCUGGUCCCUUCAUCUUAGUCCUAAGUGGAACUAUUGUUAGAGCUAAAACUAUAAGUCUGCUUUCAUACAAAUCAUAUGCAGACCACAGAUUUUAUUUUGACUUUAGACCCAGGUAUUUGGCGGGAAAUUACUGCAGUGGUUUUUCUGGUUAACACAUUUACUAAUGUUUCCUUAAUUUUUCCACCCCAACGGGCAAUAAUUAAGGUGGAAUUUGCCUCACAUGAAGUUUUAUUAUUUUAAUUAUUAAAAUAUUUUCCAACACUACUGAGAAGCAAAAAGCAAUUCUUGUUGUUUUAAAAAGUAAGUAGACAUUUUCCUCAGUUCUUACAGCUUUUCCUCAGUGAAUGGUAUUAUAGCGAGAGCAGUGGGGCAGAAUUUCUGGUGUAGGUCUUUGAGCAUGAUACUACUUAAUGGUAGAUUUACUUAAGGGAAAAAUUUCAUUCACUCUUAAAAUUGGCUUUGAGAAUAAUCCUAAUAUAACCUUAAAAAAAUACACAUGGUACAGAAUGUAUCUUACAUAAAUACCCAUUCCUGAGUGGAAUAAUUUCAUUGCAGAUUCUCUGGACUGCGAAAUGCCUUUAAAAGUCUUUCUCAUCUCCUAUUCUCAUAAGAGGUCUCAUUCUAGAUGAGAUAUAUACUAAUCUUUUGAGAUAAAUGAAAUACUGCAAAUGAAUGUUAUAUAUUUAAGUAUACAGAUGAACAGUAAAUUUAGAUAAUGUUACCUUAUGAAAAUCUGAAACCAAAUACUGGUAAUAUUUACAUGAUGAAAGCAAGUGGUAUAUUUGAUUGUAAAAUAAGACCAUUUCCCAAGUCAUAUUUAAAGCAGUAUAAUGCCUUCUCAUACUGUCUUAUUUUCUCUUAGUUUCAAAAUUACCAUAGAAGCUGAGGGAUUCUCCUGUGGUGGUGUAUUUAGUUUGUGGCUAUCCAGACUUAUAGCUUAUUCUCUCUCUUAGUUGGUACAUUAGCCCUUCUACCAAAGAAGCAGGGAAGGAAUGGGACAUAUUUCUAAAUUUCAUAUCAACUUGCACAUUUAAGAAGAGUGCUUAUACCUUUUCCUGUUUUCUAAUGUUUAAAUUAAUUCCCAAUAGGAGAAAAAGUCGACUUUAUGAACAUUUGGAAUUUUACAUGUCUCUAAGCAACUGAAGUUAGGAAGACCCUACCUUGCUAUGGAUUAUGAGUGACUGCGAAUUUUGCUACUUGCAAUUUUGACUUAACAUAUUUUCAGGUCCUUGGGUGGAAUGUAUUCUUUAUAUGAUUCACAUGAGCUGAUAACUUCGACCAGAAAACAGGAGUGGGCAUUUCCUAGUGUUUAUGGGAAUAGUUAAAAAAUAAUUCAAGAAAUUAGAGUAUUUGCUAUUUGUGGUUUUGCCUAUUGUGCGGUUGUGAUGCCUGAAAAGCAGCCACAGGGCAAAAAGUGCCAUGAGGAGACUGCCCAAAUACCUAGUGGCUUUAGACUUUUUGCCUUGUGUAGGAAUUCUUUCUUGGUCAGAGUUGACAUGGGAUCUAAACUUGAUGUAAAUACUUAAUGUGGCAUCAAUGCACAUGUAAAUUCUAUCAAAUCUAGUGCCUUUCAACACUGCCCUCCCAUCCCCCACAUUUAAGAUAUUGGCUACACCAAAAGUGUAAUAGUCUUUUGGCAACAGCAUUUGGUAAGCCAGAUGGAUUUAAUUUGGCAACUUAAGGGUGUAAAUAUAUGUUUAGAUUCAGGGGUUCCCCCAGACAACACUUACAAUACAUUGGCAAUGGUAAGCUAAAGGAUUUCAAUGUCGAGUGUUUUAAAAUUCUACCUUUGAGCAGCAAUAAAGUUAUGACAGGCAAGCAAAAGCCAUCAAACUCUCAGCUAAAUCCUCAAUGUUUUUCUUACAUUGCUGGAGGUAGGCAUUUAAGGCACAUUUCUGAGUGAAAGAUGCAGCAUUUACAUUUUCAUUUUUAAUUUCCUGGCUCUUAUUGGCUAAAGCAACUCUAGUAAACGUUAUUUAAAUUUUGCUUCUAGGCCUGGUGCAGGGGCUCAUGGCUGUAAUCCCAGCACUCUGGGAGGCUGCGGUGGGUGGAUCACCUGAGGUCAGGAGUUCGAGACCAACCUGGGCAACAUGGAUGUUUGGAAGAGUGAGAUAAGGGACACAUUGAAAACAGAGAGGCAAUCUGAAGGCUACCUUCACACAUCUGCAAAGCUCCCGGAUUCUGACUUUUACAAGACUUGCAUUCUGUUUCUGGGCCUCGCCUAAACAGACUGCCAGUCAUCCGAACCGUGGCAGGAUGGAGAUGUUUGUGUAAAGUAGACUCAAGUUUGCAAGACUCAAGAAGGAAACCACCAAACUAAUUUUACUUUCACUUAAACCAGAUUGAAACCAAGACUUGAAGAAUUAAAAACCUUGACAUUAACCAUUGAUUCACCCCAUGAAAUAAUUGUGUUAUAGCCAGAAUCAUGGUUAAAUUGGAACAAGGCUUUUGAUGGGAUUUUUAAUUGAGGGACUUACAUUAAAUUGGACAUUUUCUUUAAUGAACAGCAUGUGGCAAAAAUUCUGUUUUCAUUAAAGUAUAUUAAGGAUCAUGACAACUCAUAUUAAACCUGCAACAAAUGAUUAAUGACAUUUAGAGACUUCAAAACAAAUGACACCCCUUAAAUAUUAAGAAUCAAAAAGAACACCUCAAAGUUGUUUCUAUUCUUAGUAAUUAUGCUUAAAAAAAUCUUUCCUUGCUUUGAAAGCCAGUUGCUAAAAAUAAAAACUGUUCCCUGAAAAAUCACAAUGCCCAAUGAUAAAUUUAUGUAUUUGUUUUUUAAAGGGGGAGGAUGGUGAGAAAAAUAGAAAGCUCCUGGCUGACAUCAGAAGUCACAAGAUGAGUUCCUCAUUUGUCCAAAUGACAUUCAGCUGCUAAAAGAAGUCAGACUUUUAGAGGGCUGUUGAGGAGAGAGUAAGUCAGGAGGUUUUCAGUACAUGACUGCAGGGGAAUCAGACACAGGCUAGUCACUUAAGUUCCUUAAUUGUCCGUGUACCCUUAGCCCACGGCUUCAGGGCUCAGCAGCUUCAUCCUUCAUGGCACCAAACCUUGAUGUAAGGGAUUCAAAGACACACUCAUAAGAAUCGUGAAUUUGUCCUUACGCAAAAUUUGGAGGACUGGCUACAAAACCAAAACAAGGAGAUCUUAUCCCUAAGUGAAAGGGACUUUAUAUUAAUUGUCAGUUAUAACAAUAUGUAAAAUACAUAAAAGAGAUAGAGCACUGCAGGCCAUCAGGGUCAAACAUUUAAAACAGAAUUAAACUAAAUUAUAAGGAGGAUUAAAUGGCUUUUGUCUUUGCAAAGAAAAGAAUGUGCGUGCAUUGGUUGCCUAUGUAGAAGGAUUAAUAAAUCUUUUGGCAUGGUCGAUUUGUAAUAAAUUACUGAAAAUGUGGGAUUACGAUGAAACUCUUAAAGUGUGCCACAUAAGUCAAGGAAGCCACCUAAGUCAUGGGAUGGGUAUGAGUGAGACACUCUGGAAUAAUCUCGAUGCUACUCUGGGGCUGCCCUUGCAGGGUGGGACAUCAGCUUCGCUAAGGGGCUCACCAGAGACUCCUUCAAGGGAGCAUUUCUUGGUUUCCAUGUUGUAUUUAUGUCAUUUUGAUGAGCUGGAGUAAAAUCCAAAUCCUUUUGAAUGAUUCAGUUUUGUCUUUUUAAAGAGACACCAUCAUACUUGGUGAACACGGGUGGUCAAAAAAAGUACUUGAAUAUUGAGUGAUGAGGUAAAAAAAAAAAAAAAAAA